CAAAGUUGAAUUCUUCUGGCAACCCAUUAUUUUCUGUAUCUUUGCUUGGAGGACUGUCUCUAAGGAUCCUAAGUGGAGUACUCAAAUUUGGUUUUCUGGUUUUAAACCAUCCUUCCCUGGUCAAUGCAUUUUAUAGCUUUCCAGGAUUAAGCAAACCUCAUAGCACUGUGAAAUAUGCGAUAAAAAAGUUGCUGGGUUUGAAUGAGCAGAAAGCAGAUCUGACAAUUGCUGUGGCAGAACAAUCUAAAAAAUUGAAAUCCAGAUCCCAGCGCAUGAAAGAG
rnacentral:misc_RNA from 1 species